rnacentral:rRNA from 1 species
UACAGAGGUCUCAAGCGUUGUUCGGAUUCAUUGGGCGUAAAGGGUGUGUAGGUGGCGCCGUAAGUCAGGUGUGAAAUUUCGGAGCUUAACUCCGAAACUGCAUUUGAUACUGCGGUGCUUGAGGACUGGAGAGGAGACUGGAAUUCAUGGUGUAGCAGUGAAAUGCGUAGAUAUCGUAAGGAAGACCAGUGGCGAAGGCGGGUCUCUGGACAGUUCCUGACGCUGAGGCACGAAGGCCAGGGGAGCAAACGGG